AGUGAACGCUGGCGGUAGGCCUAACACAUGCAAGUCGAACGGCAGCACAGUAAGAGCUUGCUCUUACGGGUGGCGAGUGGCGGACGGGUGAGGAAUACAUCGGAAUCUACUUUUUCGUGGGGGAUAACGUAGGGAAACUUACGCUAAUACCGCAUACGACCUACGGGUGAAAGCAGGGGAUCUUCGGACCUUGCGCGAUUGAAUGAGCCGAUGUCGGAUUAGCUAGUUGGCGGGGUAAAGGCCCACCAAGGCGACGAGCCGUAGCUGGUCUGAGAGGAUGAUAAGCCACACUGGAACUGAGACACGGUCCAGACUCCUACGGGAGGCAGCAGUGGGGAAUAUUGGACAAUGGGCGCAAGCCUGAUACAGCCAUACCGCGUGGGUGAAGAAGGCCUUCGGGUUGUAAAGCCCUUUUGUUGGGAAAGAAAAGCAGCAGGUUAAUACCCCGCUGUUCUGACGGUACCCAAAGAAGAAGCACCGGCUAACUUCGUG
rnacentral:rRNA from 1 species